rnacentral:rRNA from 1 species
UUCGGGGUGGAUUAGUGGCGAACGGGUGAGUAACACGUGGGCAAUCUGCCCUUCACUCUGGGACAAGCCCUGGAAACGGGGUCUAAUACCGGAUACGAGACGGGGAGGCAUCUCCUCGUCUGGAAAGCUCCGGCGGUGAAGGAUGAGCCCGCGGCCUAUCAGCUUGUUGGUGGGGUAAUGGCCUACCAAGGCGACGACGGGUAGCCGGCCUGAGAGGGCGACCGGCCACACUGGGACUGAGACACGGCCCAGACUCCUACGGGAGGCAGCAGUGGGGAAUAUUGCACAAUGGGCGAAAGCCUGAUGCAGCGACGCCGCGUGAGGGAUGACGGCCUUCGGGUUGUAAACCUCUUUCAGCAGGGAAGAAGCGAAAGUGACGGUACCUGCAGAAGAAGCGCCGGCUAACUACGUGCCAGCAGCCGCGGUAAUACGUAGGGCGCAAGCGUUGUCCGGAAUUAUUGGGCGUAAAGAGCUCGUAGGCGGCUUGUCACGUCGGGUGUGAAAGCCCGGGGCUUAACCCCGGGUCUGCAUCCGAUACGGGCAGGCUAGAGUGUGGUAGGGGAGAUCGGAAUUCCUGGUGUAGCGGUGAAAUGCGCAGAUAUCAGGAGGAACACCGGUGGCGAAGGCGGAUCUCUGGGCC